rnacentral:lncRNA from 1 species
GCUGCUAUUGCCUCCUGUGGCUGCUGAAGCCUAGUCACACCUGGCUUGACUGCUCCUGCAGCUACCACACCCCCAAGCUUUCUGUGGCUUCUGCUAACCUGCUCCUGUUUUAGCUGUCCAUAGCUCAAAAUCCUUCAGAGGCAAACAAGAACAGAGGAUCAAGAGAACACCCUGGGUGAAGAGACAAUAAUGGUCUUCAUCAGAGUCUCCAAUAAAGGAAGAAGAAAUUUAGGGUGGAUGUGUCUUGAUAUUUUUAAAUUGCUGGAGGCUGCAAAAAGUGAAAAUGACAAGAAUUCAAUUAGUGAUGCCUAACUAGAGUCCAGUGGUUGAAUUGCUUUGAAGAUUAUUUGUUAGCAUAAAUAAUUUAAAGCUCUAAACAGUCCUAGAUGAAAUAUGUGUAAUUCUUCACCAUAUUCAACUCUCUCUGAAGAGAUCAUAAUGUACAGUGUUAUUGAUCCAUUAGAUUAAAACAAUCCUAAACUUUUCUUCCAAUCUAUAUUCCUUGGUCCAGAGAAAUAUAACUGUAAAGGCAUUUUUCUCUGCGAGCCUUACCAUCAAUAAAUAUGCUUCUGCACUCUUA